UAAUUUUCUUACUUGCUAAAAUUGUAUGAGGUACAUGCUGACUUAGUUUUUUUUGUCUAUUCAGCAAAUCGAUUGAUUGGAUUAGUUUCAUAUACAUCGGUGAAGUGCAGGUUCAGCUGUGGUUCUCAUAUAAGGAAGAGUGUCAUAGCUAUUGUCAAAAUUUAGCCUCCUUCGCUUUGAGAUGGCCAACUAUUGUGUGUUUAUGAAGAGAAGUGCCUAAUCU